rnacentral:rRNA from 1 species
GAGCGGCGAACGGGUGAGUAACACGUGAGUAACCUGCCCCUGACUCUGGGAUAAGCCCGGGAAACUGGGUCUAAUACCGGAUACGACACCUCCUGGCAUCGGGUGGGUGUGGAAAGUUUUUCGGUUGGGGAUGGACUCGCGGCCUAUCAGCUUGUUGGUGGGGUAAUGGCCUACCAAGGCGACGACGGGUAGCCGGCCUGAGAGGGCGACCGGCCACACUGGGACUGAGACACGGCCCAGACUCCUACGGGAGGCAGCAGUGGGGAAUAUUGCGCAAUGGGCGAAAGCCUGACGCAGCGACGCCGCGUGGGGGAUGACGGCCUUCGGGUUGUAAACCUCUUUCAGCAGGGACGAAGUUGACGUGUACCUGCAGAAGAAGCGCCGGCUAACUACGUGCCAGCAGCCGCGGUAAUACGUAGGGCGCAAGCGUUGUCCGGAAUUAUUGGGCGUAAAGAGCUCGUAGGNGGCUUGUCACGUCGGGUGUGAAAGCUUGGGGCUUAACUCCAGGUCUGCAUUCGAUACGGGCUGGCUAGAGGUAGGUAGGGGAGACC